rnacentral:rRNA from 1 species
AAUGGAUGCCUUGGAGAUUUUGGCCGAGGAAGGACGCAUAUGGCGGCGAUACUCGUCGGGUAGGUGCCAUAAACCUAUUAUCCGGCGGUUUCCGAAUGGAGCAAUCCAGCCGAUUUUUCGGCUAGCCAAACAUAAAAGUAGUUUCUAUAUGAAGCUUAAUAGUGUUUGGCGGGUAACGGCGUGAACUGAAACAUCUAAUUAACGCCAGGAAAAGAAAUUAGUAUAAGAUUCCCCUAGUAGCGGUGAGCGAAAAGGGAAAAGUCUAAACUUUGUAGCAAUACAAAGGGUUGCAGGGCAGACGAUAUUCGAUGCGAUUUUUCAUAGCAGAAGUGUCCGGAAUGGCACACCAAAGAGGGUGAAAGUCUCGUAAGCGAAAUGAAAGAUCCCGAUAGUCUGUUCCUAAGUACCAUGGGGUACGGUGAAACCCUGUGGGAAUCUGGGGCGGCCACGUUCCAAGACUAAAUACCAAAAUCUACCGAUAGUGAACUAGUACCGCGAGGGAAAGGUGAAAAGCACCCCGGGAGGGGGAUGAAAUAGACCUGAAAUUAUUGGCUAACAAGCAGAGAGAGCUUGUGCGUUGCACAAGAGUAAUCAAGAAUUAAAAAAUCAAUUAAUGGACCAACUAAGAAAAAUUUCGUAAACCUUUGGAUGAUUAAGAUUUUUGAAAAACCUGGUUAUUCUCGUGUGACGCGCGAGUAAUCUCGUGCCUAUUGAAGAAUGAACCGGUGAGUUAUUCUAGAUCACUUUUGUCUAACCAAUUAAGUUGGGGAGGCGUAGUGAAAGCGUGCUCUAAUUGAGCGAUUUUACAAAGUGUUGGAAUAGACCCGAAACCGGGUGAGCUAACCUUGAGCAGGGCGAAUGCUUUCGAAAGAUAGCAGGAGGCCCGAACUCGUAUCCGUAGCAAUGGGUUGAGACGACUUGAGGUUAGGGGCAAUAUGCCAAACGAACCCGGAGAUAGCUGGUUCUCCCCGAAAUAUAUUUAGGUAUAGCGGGAUAAUUACGUACUGUGGGGUAGAGCACUGAAUGAAAUCCGGCGACGCAAGUUGUCGGUUUCAAUCAAACUCCGAAUACAUAGUAUUUUUAUCCUAGUCAGACAUGUCGGGCUAAGCUGAUGUGUCGAGAGGGAAAAAGCCCAGACUUCCAUCUAAGGUCUCUAAAUAAAAGCUAAGUUUUGAAGGAAGUCAAAAUUCAUAGACAACCAGGAUGUUGGCUUAGAAGCANNNNNNNNNNNNCGCCGGUUGGCGGAUCGGAUUUCGGAUUUAUAAUUUCGAGUUUCUCGCGCUGUGCGCGAGUUGGUAGGGGAGCGUCCUGUUCUGCAGUGAAGGUGUGGCCGUAAGGCCUGCUGGAGCGGACAGGAGUGAGAAUGCCGGUAUGAGUAGCGAGAGCAAGGUAAGAAACCUUGCCGCCGAAAACCCAAGGUUUCCUCCGCAAUGUAAGUCAGCGGAGGGUUAGUCGGCCCUAAGGGUGCGCCUCGUUAAAGGGGUAUAGCCCGAUGGACAAGUCGUUUAAAAUUCGACUACAGAAUAUAAGUAUUCCAAUGAAAAGAGUGGCUAAAAUUUAUAUUUUACCGUACCGAAUACCGACACAGGUGGGUUGGUGUAAGUACACCAAGGCGAUCGGGAGAAAGAUGAUCAAGGAACUCGGCAAAAAAGCUGGGCGUAACCUUUGGGAGAUGCCCUACCCUGAUUUGUUUCAGGGUCGCAGCAAAUGUCUACUUAGCGACUGUUUAUCUAAAACACAGGCCUCUGCAAAGCCGAAAGGCAAAGUAUAGGGGCUGACGCCUGCCCAGUGCUGGUAAGUCAAAAGUAGAGAGUGACGCUCGCAAGAGUGAAGCUUUUUACUUAAGCUCCAGUAAACGGCAGCAGUAACUAUAACUGUUCUAUGGUAGCGAAGUUCCUUGUCGGGCGAGUUCCGACCCGCACGAAUGGCAGAACGACUGAGUAACUGUCUUGAUCAUCUACCCGGCGAAAUUGAGAUGGCUGUGAAGACGCGGCCUAGUUGUCCUUGGACAAAAAGACCCCGGGAGCUUUACUGUA